UACGUAGGGUGCAAGCGUUACUCGGAAUUACUGGGCGUAAAGCGUGCGUAGGUGGUUCGUUAAGUCUGAUGUGAAAGCCCUGGGCUCAACCUGGGAAUGGCAUUGGAAACUGGCGACCUAGAGUGCGGUAGAGGGUAGUGGAAUUCCCGGUGUAGCAGUGAAAUGCGUAGAGAUCGGGAGGAACAUCCGUGGCGAAGGCGACUACCUGGACCAGCACUGACACUGAGGCACGAAAGCGUGGGGAGCAAACAG
rnacentral:rRNA from 1 species